ACUAGGGAAAGGUCCGCAAACUCUUAAGGUCACUUUCUGAAGGCGGCCUCAUCACAGUCGGAGGUGAGCUCGAUCCGGACCCUGUGGGCAGAGGGUCCCCGGCCCUAAGGUGGCCACUUGAAGAAGAGGAGGACGUUCUCUGUUCCGGAACGAAAGUAGCGCGUGCAGGCUGUUUCCGGGGACCCGAGGCCGCUGCACCGCUCGCCCCGCCCCUCGCACGGCCACGUCUCCGCCGGAGCAUCCGGGCCGGGCGGCCUCCGGGGCUGCCAGAGCAGCAGGGUAUCAUGAUAUUAGCUGGUUUGACAUCAAGCCAUUUGUGAGUCAUCAGAUCUUCUGAAAAUGGGAGACACAGUAGGGCCCCUCCCAGGAGCUCUUGGCUGUUGCUGAUGGCAGAAGCCAAGCUUGUCCAAGGUUCACUUGUAGCCCCUCAGCGUCAGCUCAGCUGGUGUCGUCCUGACCAUGGACGGCGCGUCGGCCGAGCAAGAUGGCCUCCAGGAGGACAGAUCCCACAGUGGCCCCUCGUCUCUCCCCGAGGCCCCACUGAAGCCCCCGGGCCCACUGGUGCCACCUGACCAGCAGGACCCACUGGUGCCACGUGACCAGCAGGACAAAGCCCAGUGUGCUGAGGUAAACAGAGCUUCCACGGAAGGGGAAAGCCCGAAUGGACCUGGCCAGGGAGGCCUCUGUCAGAAUGGGCCAACGCCACCCUUCCCAGAUCCUCCGUCGUCUCUCGAUCCCACCACAAGCCCAGUGGGCCCUGAUGCCUCUCCAGGCUCUACAGAUUCUCCCCUGCCCCUGGAGAAGGAGGAGCAGGUCCGACUUCAGGCUCGGAAGUGGCUGGAAGAGCAGCUCAAACAGUACAGGGUGAAGCGCCAGCAGGAGAGGUCCAGUCAACCUGCAACCAAAACGAGACUUUUUAGCACGCUUGAUCCUGAGCUCAUGUUAAACCCAGAAAACUUACCAAGGGCCAGUACCCUGGCUAUGACAAAAGAAUAUUCCUUCCUGCGCACCAGUGUCCCUCGGGGGCCUAAGGUGGGCAGCCUGGGGCUUCCGGCACAUCCUAGGGAGAAAAAAAGUUCCAAAUCAAGCAAAAUCCGGUCGCUGGCCGAUUACAGAACUGAAGAUUCAAAUGCGGGGAAUUCUGGGGGAAAUGUCCCGGCUCCCGAUUCUACCAAGGGUUCCCUGAAGCAGAACAGAAGCAGUGCGGCGUCCGUUGUGUCUGAGAUCAGCCUGUCCCCCGACACUGAUGACCGUCUGGAGAACACCUCCCUGGCUGGAGACAGCGUGUCUGAGGUGGAUGGAAAUGACAGCGACAGCUCAUCGUACAGCAGCGCCUCCACCCGAGGGACCUAUGGCAUUCUGUCGAAGACAGUGGGCACGCAGGACACCCCCUAUAUGGUCAACGGCCAGGAGAUUCCUGCGGAUACCCUGGGCCAGUUCCCCUCCAUUAAGGACGUCCUCCAGGCCGCAGCCGCUGAGCACCAAGACCAGGGGCAGGAGGUCAACGGGGAGGUGCGGAGUCGGAGAGACAGCAUCUGCAGCAGCGUGUCCUUGGAGAGCUCUGCAGCAGAAACACAGGAGGAGAUGCUGCAGGUGCUCAAAGAGAAAAUGCGACUCGAAGGACAGCUGGAAGCCUUGUCACUGGAGGCGAGUCAGGCACUUAAAGAGAAGGCUGAGCUGCAGGCCCAGCUGGCCGCCCUCAGCACGAAGCUGCAGGCGCAGGUGGAGUGCAGCCACAGCAGCCAGCAGCGGCAGGACUCGCUGAGCUCGGAGGUGGACACCCUGAAGCAGUCGUGCUGGGACCUGGAGCGAGCCAUGACCGACCUGCAGAACAUGCUGGAGGCAAAAAAUGCCAGCCUGGCGUCAUCCAACAACGACUUGCAGGUGGCCGAGGAGCAGUACCAGAGGCUUAUGGCCAAGGUAGAGGACAUGCAGAGGAGCAUGCUCAGCAAGGACAACACAGUGCACGACCUGCGACAGCAGAUGACAGCCUUGCAGAGCCAGCUUCAGCAGGUGCAGCUGGAGCGGACGACGCUGACCAGCAAGCUGAAAGCGUCGCAGGCGGAGAUCUCAUCCCUGCAGAGUGUCCGGCAGUGGUACCAGCAGCAGCUCGCCCUGGCACAGGAGGCCCGCGUCAGGCUGCAGGGUGAGAUGGCCCACAUCCAGGUUGGACAGAUGACCCAGGCAGGUCUCCUGGAGCACCUGAAACUCGAGAAUGUGUCCCUGUCCCAGCAGCUGACGGAAACUCAGCACAGGUCCAUGAAGGAGAAGGGGCGCAUCGCGGCACAGCUGCAGGGCAUUGAGGCUGACAUGUUGGAUCAGGAAGCAGCCUUCAUGCAGAUUCAGGAGGCAAAGACGAUGGUGGAGGAGGACCUUCAGAGGAGGCUGGAAGAGUUUGAAGGUGAGAGGGAGCGGCUGCAGAGGAUGGCGGACUCGGCGGCAUCCCUGGAGCAGCAGCUGGAGCAGGUGAAGUUGACUUUACUCCAGCGAGACCAGCAGCUUGAGGCUUUGCAGCAGGAGCACCUGGACCUGAUGAAACAGCUCACCUUGACUCAGGAGGCUCUGCAGAGCAGGGAGCAGUCCCUCGAUGCCCUGCAGACACACUACGACGAGCUGCAGGCCAGGCUGGGGGAGCUGCAGGGCGAGGCCGCCUCCAGGGAGGACACGAUCUGCCUCCUGCAGAAUGAGAAGAUCAUCUUGGAGGCGGCUCUGCAGGCGGCCAAGAGUGGCAAGGAGGAGCUUGACAGAGGAGCAAGACGCUUGGAAGAAGGUACCGAGGAAACGUCGGAAACUUUAGAGAAGUUAAGAGAAGAAUUAGCUAUCAAAUCCGGCCAGGUGGAACACCUGCAGCAGGAGACUGCCGCUCUGAAAAAGCAAAUGCAAAAAAUAAAGGAACAGUUUCUCCAACAAAAGGUGAUGGUGGAGGCCUACCGGCGCGACGCCACCUCCAAAGACCAGCUCAUCAGUGAGCUGAAAGCCACCAGGAAGAGGCUGGACUCGGAGCUGAAGGAGCUGCGGCAGGAGCUGAUGCAAGUGCACGGGGAGAAGCGGGCCGCCGAGGCGGAGCUCUCGCGCCUGCACAGAGAGGCGGCCCAGGUCCGUCAGCAGAUGGCGGACCUUGAAGGGCAUCUCCAGUUGGCGCAGAAGGAGCGAGACGAGAUGGAAACACACUUGCAGUCGUUGCAGUUCGAUAAGGAGCAGAUGGUCGUGGUCACAGAGGCCAAUGAGGCGCUGAAGAAACAAAUCGAAGAGUUGCAGCAAGAGGCCCGGAAGGCCAUCACGGAACAGAAGCAGAAGAUGAGGCGGCUGGGCUCAGACUUGACCAGUGCCCAGAAGGAGAUGAAGACCAAACAUAAGGCCUACGAGAACGCCGUGGGCAUCCUCAGCCGCCGCCUGCAGGAGGCCCUCGCGGCCAAGGAGGCUGCGGACGCGGAGCUGGGCCAGCUCCGAGCCCAGGGCGGCAGCAGUGACAGCAGCCUGGCUCUACAUGAAAGGAUCCAGGCCCUGGAGGCGGAGCUGCAGGCUGUCAGUCAUAGCAAGACGCUGCUGGAAAAGGAACUGCAGGAGGUCAUAGCGCUGACCAGCCAGGAGCUGGAGGAGUCCCGGGAGAAGGUGCUGGAGCUGGAGGACGAGCUUCAAGAAUCCAGAGGCUUUAGGAAGAAGAUAAAACGCCUUGAGGAGUCAAACAAGAAGUUGGCUCUUGAAUUAGAGCACGAGAAAGGGAAGCUUACGGGCCUCGGUCAGUCCAACGCAGCUCUGCGGGAACACAACAGCAUCCUAGAAACAGCUUUGGCCAAGAGGGAGGCAGACCUAGUCCAGUUGAACCUUCAGGUGCAGGCAGUUUUGCAGCGCAAAGAAGAGGAGGAUCGCCAGAUGAAGCAUCUUGUCCAGGCCCUGCAGGCCUCACUAGAGAAGGAGAAGGAGAAGGUGAACAGCCUCAAGGAGCAGGUGGCCGCUGCCAAGGUGGAAGCCGGGCAUAACCGCCGCCACUUCAAGGCGGCCUCCUUGGAGCUGAGUGAGGUGAAGAAGGAGCUGCAGGCCAAGGAACACCUGGUGCAGAAGCUGCAGGCCGAGGCCGACGACCUUCAGAUUCGGGAGGGGAAACAUUCCCAGGAGAUAGCACAGUUCCAAGCAGAGCUGGCCGAGGCCCGGGCGCAGCUCCAGCUCCUGCAGAAGCAGCUGGACGAGCAGCUCAGCAAACAGCCCGUGGGAAACCAAGAGAUGGAAAAUCUCAAAUGGGAGGUGGAUCAGAAAGAAAGAGAAAUCCAGUCCUUGAAGCAGCAGCUGGACUUGACGGAGCAGCAGGGCAGGAAGGAACUGGAAGGGCUACAGCAGCUGCUGCAGAACGUCAAGUCUGAGUUGGAGAUGGCCCAGGAAGACCUGUCCAUGACCCAGAAGGAUAAAUUUAUGCUCCAGGCAAAAGUGUCGGAGCUGAAGAACAACAUGAAGACCCUGCUCCAGCAGAACCAGCAGCUCAAGCUGGACCUACGCCGCGGCGCGGCCAAGACGAGAAAGGAGCCGAAAGGCGAGGCCAGCUCGUCCAACCCUGCCACGCCCAUCAAGAUCCCGGACUGCCCAGUUCCCGCCUCGCUGCUGGAGGAGCUGCUGAGACCACCGCCCGCCGUGAGCAAGGAGCCCCUCAAGAACCUGAACAGCUGCCUCCAGCAGCUCAAGCAGGAGAUGGACAGCCUGCAGCGCCAGAUGGAGGAGCACGCCCUGACGGUGCACGAGUCUCUGUCCUCGUGGACGCCGCUGGAGCCAGCCACUGCCAGCCCUGUGCCCCCGGGGGGUCACGCCGGCCCACGCGGCGACCCACAGAGACACAGUCAGAGCAGGGCUUCCAAAGAAGGGCCGGGAGAGUGACUGCUGCGGACUCGCCUCCGUGCGCCGCUGCCCCAGAAUGCUCUCUUAUCAAUGUUAUUUAUUUGAUUGUGUGGUCGAUGUUUUUCUAAGACAUGAAAUUUAAGUUUUGUUUUGCCUUUAACAAGAAGUAAAAUAUAUAGCAGAAUGAGAGCCAAGGACUAGAAAAACAUUUGAAGAUCACAAUUAGCUUUUCACAUGGAAUGACCAACUCUUAAAAGCCUGAUAGGCUCUGGGCGAGGAGCUUUGAACGUGUCUGAAGGGUUACUUGUAGGUCGUGGCUUCUGAGCGGCCACUGAUGCUGCUCUCUGCGGGUGACAGGGAGAGGCUGCGUAACUGGGAGCAGCUGUGUGACAGGGUCUGCGGCACCGCGCCUGGCCAGGCCGGCUGCAGUUUCUCACUUCCCUGUUCCAUUCAGUAAGAGCUUUACUUUUCCGCAGAAAUGAAACUUUAUUUGUACCUUUGGCUUUUUACUUGUUUUUUUGGAUAGCCAUCCCACCAUAGGAUGCGUACAUAGAUACUGAAGAUCAUAAUCCAAUCUUUGUUUUUUUUUUUUUUUUUGAGACAGAGUCUCGCUUUGUUGCCCAGGCUGGAGUGCAGUGGCACGAUCUCCGCUCACUGCAAGCUCCGCCUCCCAGGUUCAUGCGAUUCUCCUGCCUCAGCCUCUCGAGUAGCUGGGAUUACAGGCGUGCGCCACUAUGCCAGGCUAAUGUUUGUAUUUUUAGUAGCAAUGGGGUUUCACCAUGUUGGCCAGGAUGGUCUCGAUCGCCUGACCUCAAGUGAUCCUGAGCCUCAGCCUCCCAAAGUGCUGGAAUUAUAGGCGUGAACCACCGCCCCCCCGGCUGAAGUUGGAUUUUUAAAUUGCUUUUUUUUAUUGUUGAGGUUUUUUUCUUAUCUCCAAGGGACUCUUAUGGCACUUCUACCUCCCAGUUACUUCAGUGUGUAAAGUUUGAAUUAUUUUGUUCUUGUGGGCAGAAGUGGGAAUGAUGGAAUAUCCUCACGGAAAAGGCAGUGAAGUUGGGAGUACUGCUUAGAAAACAGGGUCACCAGCGCAUUAUGUGGCGUGUUCAUCCCCACGCUGUGUGUCACAACAGGCUAGGGCACUUCACGAUGUCACUACUUGUUUUUCUGACGUUCCAAAAACAAUGUAACUUGGUUUUCAUGUGUUUUUCCGUGGUAUAUGUGAGAUUGACGCUACGGGUCUUACGGACUCACACCCGUUCCCACUCUCUGCAAUAUGGAUCAGGCAGUGUUUUUGAUAGGAUGUGAAAUGGACUCUCCUCGGGUGGGUCCAGCAGGGUCCCUGCCCACCAGAACACAGUCUGUGCUGUGCUGCGCUAAGGAGCUGGCCCUCAACUCUCCUUGGUGCAGGGUUCCCACAACAUAAGAGUCCUAGUUCCCCGAAGUCUUUAAAAACGAAAACAGAAUGUUGUACGUGAAGAUUCUAGGAGGGGAGGGACCAGCAAAUCUGAGAACCGUCCUGGGGCCUCCCUUCGAGGAGCCCUCUGAUGUGAGGAGGGACUUGAGUUGAGUGACGCUGUGGUGUGAGGUGUUCUGAGCUCACUGACCGGAAGGUCCAGGUGAAUCUCGUCAUAAGUGAUCUCAGGCUCUCACAGGAUCCGGAGGGAAAUGUGUUAGAGGGUCUGGAAAAUUCAGUGCUUUUGAGUUACUUGUUUUUAUUAAAAAUUUCCUCACAAAAGAGAGUCCUCAAGUUGUGGCUGUUCUUGGGAAAGGGGUCACCGUGUCUGACAAAGUGUGACUUUAAAAAGCACGUUGAUUUUUUACAAAUGUAAGUGUGCUUGGGAAUUCCUUAAAUUUUGUGCAAUAAACUAUUUUUUGGUAAAGA